UACGAAGGGGGCUAGCGUUGCUCGGAAUCACUGGGCGUAAAGCGCACGUAGGCGGAUUGCUAAGUCAGGGGUGAAAUCCUGGAGCUCAACUCCAGAACUGCCUUUGAUACUGGCAACCUUGAGUCCGGGAGAGGUGAGUGGAAUUCCGAGUGUAGAGGUAGAAAUUCGUAGAUAUUCGGAGGGAACACCAGUGGCGAAGGCGGC
rnacentral:rRNA from 1 species